CGCUGAAGGCAUCUAAGCGUGAAGCCCCCCUUAAGAUGAGAUAUCCCAUUCGAAAGAAGUAAACCCCCUUGAAGACGACGAGGUAGAUAGGGCAGAGGUGGAAGUGCAGUAAUGCAUGGAGCUGACUGUUACUAAUCGGGUGAGGGCUUGACCAAG
rnacentral:rRNA from 1 species